AGCCUCUCAGGGUCACACCUGGAGAGUUUCCAGUCCUCUACCAGUCUUGACUAUGGGAAGGCGAGUGAAGCAGAGGCCAACCCGUUCCAUUUCUAGCUUGGGCAGUGGUUAGCAAGUGGAAGGCAAUCUGCUACAAGU